rnacentral:SRP_RNA from 1 species
AAUACUCAAUGGAGCAACAAUCUUGCGUGAAGCGGGUCAGGGGAGGAAUCCAGCAGCCCUAAGCGAUUUAGAUUGUGUGCUCUUUUUUUGGCUGUUAAA